rnacentral:sRNA from 1 species
UGAAUGAGGCUACCGGCUGGUUCCUCCU